GGGCUACGGGCCCUCACCGGCUGACUCUAAUGCCUGCGGGUGGCGCUACAAACUAGUUUGUCUCUGCGCCGCGGGCAGGGCUUCUGGCUCAGGAACUACGCUACGGAAAGAUCCGGAGAUAAACGACUAGUGAUAGAGGCGCGGAAACUGAGGCUCCGGGCGGGUCCGGCGGUAACAAGAGUUCUAUAUAUAAUAAUAACAACAAUAGUUGUAUAUAUACGGUGAGUUAACUGAGGCAGUCGGAGAGCAAAACUCAUUUGCUCACAGCUGCGGACAGCUGAGAAGUGGUCAAGUCGGAACUGGAACGCAGGAAAGUGAGCAGAAGAAGACGUGCACAUAUCCAGGCCUGGCCUGGAAAAUCUGUCAACAGAUGCUCUCACUUACUCUGCCAGCUGGAAGAUGAUGACCAGGUUCUGGAGAAGGCAAGACUUUAAGAUGGAGGAUAUCUGGGUGGAAGAGAACUCUGCCCUGUUGACCUCAGCAUCCUCUCAGGAUUGUUAUAUAAAAGAAGAAGAAAAAAAAUCUCUUAUGUUGAGCUUUCGUGUAUUUACAGCUUUAAGUCACGGCAGCUUUGCCUAUUCUCUCUAACACAAAUAAGAAAGUGAUUCUGCAGUGAACUGUGGGAGAAAAUUUUGAAAUGACUUGGAUUAACAUUAUCUAUGACAGUCAGGAAAUAGAAGGUGCCUUGGUUUCUUUGGUUCUUUCAGUAAGAAUUUAUCAGGUGCCUCUCUGUGCCAGGCACCAUGCUACAUAGUAGAGAUGCAGAGAGGAGGCCCAAGCCUUAUGCACUCUGAGUCUCACAGCUAAACUCAUCAUCUGUCAUCUGCACACACUGCCCCUCUAUCUAGAAGCUUACUCUCCUUACUGAGCACACAGAGGCCAAUUCCUACACGUUCUUCAACCACAUUCUAAAUAUUAAUUCAUCAGAAAGACUGGGCCUCACCCUCGUGUGUUUGUGUGCUUAGUCACUGAGUUGUGCCCGAUUCUUUGUGACUACUUGGACUGUAGCCCACC